AAAAGAUCAAUGGAUAGAAAAGUGCAAACCGAACCAGACAAAGGGCGACGCAGAACUCACCUAUAAACACUGGACCGAGGGGAUAGAGAAGAACCAACGCCAAUACUCCCUUUAAAAGUAUCUAGAGUGGAGAUGAAACAAGAAUUCAGUAAGAUCUGGGAAAAGGUAGGGGAGAGGGAGAAGCAGUAAAGAGAAGAGGGGAAGAGAGAAGAGAAGAUUCGGUAACCCAAAGAAGAGGGAAGAAAAAGGGGAUUCGGUAGAGGGGACUAACGAACUAUUCGGUCAAAACAAAAACAAGAAGAGAAAACAAAAAGAAUAAAAGGAAAAGCAAGAAAAAAAUAAGCAAACCCAAAAGGUACCCACAGUCUUUAGCAAUAUUCGGCACAAGCAAAAGGUGAAAGAAAAACUGAUCAAAUCAAAAUAGACGGAGAGUAAACAACCCCAAAAUCGAAACCCACAAAGUGUAAAGACCAAAUUUGGCACAAGUCUACCCCCAAACGGCACAACUCCCCCCACUCUCAAACUCCUUGAUUUCCUCCUAAAAACUUUCCCAUUAUCCCUCCUUGAUUUUCUCCACCAAUUCUUCCUCAACUUCCCCAACCACUCCAUUCAAACUCUCCACAACUGUGUUUCAGUCAAACAAAUUUACCUACACAACUCAAGCAGCAAAAUAAUUACUACCUUGC
rnacentral:lncRNA from 1 species